GUAGGCUCAGGUUGUUGGGGAGGUAAUAGCUCCCCAAGCCGACGACCCUUCGCCGGUCUUCGCGGACGAUCGGCCACAUGGGGACUGAGACAAGGCCCCAACGUUUCUACGGCAGCAGUGUGGAAUCUUGGGCAAUGGGGGCAACCCUGACCCAGCUAUGUCGCGAGGGCGAGAACGGCUGUAAACGGUAUCAGGUCGUAAAGCUCUGUCGGCAGGGGGGAGAAUGACGUACCCUGCGGAAGCUAGCCCCGGCCAACCUCGUGCCAGCAGCCGCGGUAAUACGAGGGGAGCGAGUGUUCUACGGUCAAACUGGGCGUAAAGGGUUCUCCGGCGGAAAUGGGUGUGUAGGGUGGGAGCAUUCCGCCUGUUAAGCGGGAUCGUCCCCUAAACUCCAUUUCAUGAGUUGGAGCGGCGAGGGCGGAAGUCCAGGACGAGCGUUAGCAUGCUUAGACGCCUGGAGGACGGCCAUGGGCGCAGGCCUCCCUCGAGCUCCGACUGACGCUUCGGAACGAAAGCGUGGGGAGCGAUCGGGAUUAGAGACCCCGGUAGUCCACGCCCUGAUCGAUAGGAAGUGGAGAUGCGCGUAAGCGUGUGUCUCCUUGUUAACGCAAAACUUCCUCGCCUGAGAAGUACGGCCGCAAGGUUGAAACUC
rnacentral:rRNA from 1 species